UACGAAGGGGGCAAGCGUUGUGCGGAAUCAUUGGGCGUAAAGAGCACGUAGGCGGCUUGUUAAGUCAGGGGUGAAAUCCUGGAGCUCAACUCCAGAACUGCCUUUGAUACUGGCAACCUUGAGUCCGGGAGAGGUGAGUGGAACUGCGAGUGUAGAGGUGAAAUUCGUAGAUAUUCGCAAGAACACCAGUGGCGAAGGCGGCUCACUGGCCCGGUACUGACGCUGAGGUGCGAAAGCGUGGGUAGCAAACAGG
rnacentral:rRNA from 1 species